UACGUAGGGUGCAAGCGUUGUCCGGAAUUACUGGGCGUAAAGCGUGCGCAGGCGGUUCUCCAAGUCCGUUGUGAAAGCCCCGGGCUCAACCUGGGAAUGGCAGUGGAAACUAGGGGACUGGAAUCUGGCAGAGGGGGUGGAAUGCCGCGUGUAGCAGUGAAAUGCGUAGAGAUGCGGCGGAACACCGAUGGCGAAGGCAGCCCCUGGGCUGAGAUUGACGCUCAGGCACGAAAGCGUGGGGAGCAAACAGG
rnacentral:rRNA from 1 species